UGCUACAAGAGGAUAGUGAAAGACCCCCGCAGGGAGACCCUCACUCAAGCCUCGGGACAGCCGCGGACCCAAGAAGACACCGAGACCA
rnacentral:pre_miRNA from 7 species